AUUGAACGCUGGCGGCAGGCCUAACACAUGCCAGUCGAACGGUAACAGGAAGAAGCUUGCUUCUUUGCUGACGAGUGGCGGACGGGUGAGUAAUGUCUGGGAAACUGCCUGAUGGAGGGGGAUAACUACUGGAAACGGUAGCUAAUACCGCAUAACGUCGCAAGACCAAAGAGGGGGACCUUCGGGCCUCUUGCCAUCGGAUGUGCCCAGAUGGGAUUAGCUAGUAGGUGGGGUAACGGCUCACCUAGGCGACGAUCCCUAGCUGGUCUGAGAGGAUGACCAGCCACACUGGAACUGAGACACGGACCAGACUCCUACGGGAGGCAGCAGUGGGGAAUAUUGCACAAUGGGCGCAAGCCUGAUGCAGCCAUGCCGCGUGUAUGAAGAAGGCCUUCGGGUUGUAAAGUACUUUCAGCGGGGAGGAAGGGAGUAAAGUUAAUACCUUUGCUCAUUGACGUUACCCGCAGAAGAAGCACCGGCUAACUCCGUG
rnacentral:rRNA from 1 species